rnacentral:rRNA from 1 species
UUAAGAAUCUUGCGCAAUGGGCGAAAGCCUGACGCAGCGACGCCGCGUGGAGGAUGACGGCCUUCGGGUUGUAAACUCCUUUUCUGUGGGAAGAUAAUGACGGUACCGCAGGAAUAAGCCCCGGCCAAUUACGUGCCAGCAGCCGCGGUAAUACGUAAGGGGCAAGCGUUGUCCGGAAUCACUGGGCGUAAAGCGCGCGUAGGCGGUUUGAUAAGUUGGGUGUGAAAUCCCCGGGCUCAACCCGGGAACUGCGCCCAAAACUGUCUCACUGGAGGAACGGAGAGGUGCACGGAAUUCCCGGUGUAGGGGUGAAAUCCAUAGAUAUCGGGAGGAACACCAAUGGCGAAGGCAGUGCACUGGACGUUUCCUGACGCUGAGGUGCGAAAGCGUGGGGAGCGAACGG